UACGGAGGGUGCAAGCGUUAAUCGGAAUCACUGGGCGUAAAGCGCGCGUAGGCGGUCUUGUAAGUCGGAUGUGAAAGCCCACGGCUCAACCGUGGAAUUGCAUUCGAUACUGCUUGACUUGAGUACAGGAGAGGGUGGCGGAAUUCCCGGUGUAGGAGUGAAAUCCGUAGAGAUCGGGAGGAACACCAGUGGCGAAGGCGGCCACCUGGACUGUAACUGACGCUGAGGCGCGAAAGCGUGGGUAG
rnacentral:rRNA from 1 species